UCUGUCAAUCUUAUCCCCUACAGGAACAUUGCUGAUGCAAGACAGCAUCUUAUGCGAAUGCAGGGUGUCCAUGAUGUUGAUAUACACCACCCCAUUUUAUGCUCAAGUAUCAAUUGAUGUUACACAUUUUGAAUAUGAAGCAUAAUUUCCGCUCUAAUAUAAUAUAAAGUAAUAAUUCUUUAGGUAGAUCAUUGAUUUCAAGCCACCAAACCUAUGCAGAAGA
rnacentral:misc_RNA from 1 species